UCAGACGAUGCGUCAUGCAUAUCAAUAAGCGGAGGAAAAGAAACUAACAAGGAUUCCCUUAGUAACGGCGAGUGAAGCGGGAAGAGCUCAAAUUUGAAAUCUUCAAGGUUUUACCUUGACGAAUUGUAGUUUAAGAAGUGUUUUCUGUUGAAGUUUUGGUAAAAGUUCUUUGGAAUAGGACAUCAUAGAGGGUGAGAAUCCCGUAUUUGACCAUUAUUUUCAGCUGUGUGAUACACUUUCAAAGAGUCGGAUUGUUUGGGAAUGCAGUCCAAAAUGGGUGGUAAAUUUCAUCUAAAGCUAAAUAUUGGCGAGAGACCGAUAGCGAACAAGUACCGUGAGGGAAAGAUGAAAAGAACUUUGAAAAGAGAGUUAAACAGUACGUGAAAUUGUCAAAAGGGAAGCGUUUGACACCAGUGUUGUUUUCUCGAAAAUCAAUUAAAAAGAGUUGGAUUUUGUGUUGUAUUGACCUUAACAGCUUGCUUCACUCUUUUCCUGCUUUUUUUAAUGCACUUUUCGUUUAACAAGUCAACAUCAGUUUCUUUUGUUGUAAAAGGGUCAUUGGAAGGUGGCUUUCUCUUCGGAGAAAGUGUUUAUAGCCUUUGAUCUCUGCAAUCGGAGAGACUGAGGUCUGCAGCGUAGAUCCUUCGGGGUUAGAUACAUUUGUGCUAAGCUACAGCUUUUCAUAGACAACUUGUUGACUAUGUUUAGUCUUGUAACUUACCCGCUUAUGCUAUUUUACCUACGCUUAGGAUGUUGAUAUGCAUGACUGAUAU
rnacentral:rRNA from 1 species